AGAGUUUGAUCCUGGCUCAGGAUGAACGCUAGCUACAGGCUUAACACAUGCAAGUCGAGGGGCAGCAUUUUAGUUUGCUUGCAAACUAAAGAUGGCGACCGGCGCACGGGUGAGUAACACGUAUCCAACCUGCCGAUAACUCGGGGAUAGCCUUUCGAAAGAAAGAUUAAUAUCCGAUAGUAUAUUAAAACCGCAUGGUUUUACUAUUAAAGAAUUUCGGUUAUCGAUGGGGAUGCGUUCCAUUAGUUUGUUGGCGGGGUAACGGCCCACCAAGACUACGAUGGAUAGGGGUUCUGAGAGGAAGGUCCCCCACAUUGGAACUGAGACACGGUCCAAACUCCUACGGGAGGCAGCAGUGAGGAAUAUUGGUCAAUGGACGAGAGUCUGAACCAGCCAAGUAGCGUGAAGGAUGACUGCCCUAUGGGUUGUAAACUUCUUUUAUAUGGGAAUAAAGUAUUCCACGUGUGGAAUUUUGUAUGUACCAUAUGAAUAAGGAUCGGCUAACUCCGUGCCAGCAGCCGCGGUAAUACGGAGGAUCCGAGCGUUAUCCGGAUUUAUUGGGUUUAAAGGGAGCGUAGGUGGAUUGUUAAGUCAGUUGUGAAAGUUUGCGGCUCAACCGUAAAAUUGCAGUUGAAACUGGCAGUCUUGAGUACAGUAGAGGUGGGCGGAAUUCGUGGUGUAGCGGUGAAAUGCUUAGAUAUCACGAAGAACUCCGAUUGCGAAGGCAGCUCACUAGACUGCAACUGACACUGAUGCUCGAAAGUGUGGGUAUCAAACAGGAUUAGAUACCCUGGUAGUCCACACAGUAAACGAUGAAUACUCGCUGUUUGCGAUAUACAGUAAGCGGCCAAGCGAAAGCAUUAAGUAUUCCACCUGGGGAGUACGCCGGCAACGGUGAAACUCAAAGGAAUUGACGGGGGCCCGCACAAGCGGAGGAACAUGUGGUUUAAUUCGAUGAUACGCGAGGAACCUUACCCGGGCUUAAAUUGCAUUUGAAUAAUCUGGAAACAGGUUAGCCGCAAGGCAAAUGUGAAGGUGCUGCAUGGUUGUCGUCAGCUCGUGCCGUGAGGUGUCGGCUUAAGUGCCAUAACGAGCGCAACCCUUAUCUUUAGUUACUAACAGGUCAUGCUGAGGACUCUAGAGAGACUGCCGUCGUAAGAUGUGAGGAAGGUGGGGAUGACGUCAAAUCAGCACGGCCCUUACGUCCGGGGCUACACACGUGUUACAAUGGGGGGUACAGAAGGCAGCUACCUGGCGACAGGAUGCUAAUCCCAAAAACCUCUCUCAGUUCGGAUCGAAGUCUGCAACCCGACUUCGUGAAGCUGGAUUCGCUAGUAAUCGCGCAUCAGCCAUGGCGCGGUGAAUACGUUCCCGGGCCUUGUACACACCGCCCGUCAAGCCAUGAAAGCCGGGGGUACCUGAAGUACGUAACCGCAAGGAGCGUCCUAGGGUAAAACUGGUAAUUGGGGCUAAGUCGUAACAAGGUAGCCGUACCGGAAGGUGCGGCUGGAACACCU
rnacentral:rRNA from 1 species